GGGCAAUCCUGUAGGAGGACCAGCUGUCUUAAUUAUCCCCGAGAUCUUUCAAACACUGGACCACCAAACAGACAACAUGCACCAGCUCUCAUGAGGCCCCCAACACAUAUACAGUAGAGGACUUCCUGAUCUGUGUUCAUUCAGAGAUGCACUUAACCCUCAAGAGACAAGAGGUCCCAGGGAGUGUAGAGGUCAGGUUGCAUAGGGGGUAGGGUCAUUCAUGUGGAGAAGGGGUGGGGUGUGGAUGAGGUGUGGAAUGUGGAGCAGUAGGAGGUGGAUGGGGAGAGAUGAGGAAUGGAAUAUGGAGUGUAAAUAAUGAAUUACAAAUAUAAUUAAAUUUUAAAUUUUUUUCAGUACUGUAUUAUUUCAUUCAAAUGUCCUAGUUCGUAGAUUUUGUCUGGCGUGAACUAUAGAUAUUUGAUAGAGUAAAGCAAUAUCUCACUAGGAGCUAUAAUUCCAUGGUAUUUGCAUCAUGUAUAGGAGAAGAUAUACCAGAUGCCACAAUGUCAGGGUUCACUCCUAGAAAACAUCUCUUUCCAGCACUCACACUGCUACUUCCACUGGCAAGAAGACAAUUGCCAACUUCAUUCCUGACUAGCAAACUCGAAUUUAGUAUUGCUACAUGUGAUGCUUAGGUUUAACAAAUUACUUUGUUUGUUGAAAACAGUUUUUCACACAAUAUAUUUUGAUAAAAUUUUUCAUCCCCCAUUUUCUCCCUCCUCUCGAUGCAUCCAACUUUAUGUUCUUUGCUCUCUUUUAUAAAGAAAGAAAUUGCAAUUAAAAAAUCCAAUACAGAUGUAUGCCACACAAGCACGCAUACAUUCAUGGACACAGCCAUAAACAAAAAACUGGAAAUUUGAAAAUUAAUUGAUAAAUAAGAUAAACAAAGAUACCUAAACUAACCAAAAUUAGAGAAAACAAUCUAUAAAAUUACAAUUGAGUUCAUUUGUGUUUGCUAAAUAAUUCUGGGCAUGGAGCUUGCCCUUAAGUGAGGUUAAUAUAACUUGUGAUACUCCCAUGGAGAAUUUUUUUUCUUUUCAAGCUAGUUUCAGCUGUAGAUAGCUUUGUGAUUACUUGUGGGAGGCUGUGUCCUCUUCCUGACCUCAGUGGUGGGGCCUCUUUUGGAUUUCACUGUGCAGGUUUUGUGAGUGCUGCUGUAGCCCCUGUGAAGUCACAUGUUUAUUCGUCCUAUUGUGUCUGAAAGAUACUUCUUCCUUUGAGAUAAACACAGUGUUUGGCUCUUAAAAUAUUACUGCCUCUUCUUUGGCUGGGAUUCCUUAACCUUGAGGUAGUAUUUGGUGAUAGAAUCCCAUUUAGGAUCAAAUGCUCCAAUAUCUCUUAUUCUCUGCUCAUUGUCCAGUUUUAGGUCCCUAUGUUAGUUCAUAACUACUCAAGAAGCUUUUCUAUGGUUUCAGGAAGCAGUAGUUGUAAAGUAACACAGUAUAAACAAUCAGACCAACCUCUUUGGUAUUUCUUUUUUUUUUCCAGGUUUUUUUUUAUUAGAUAUUUUCUUUUCAAAUGUUAUCCCCUUUCCAGAUUUCCUUCCAAAACCACCUUAUCCUAUCGCUCCUCCCUUGCUCACCAACCCACCCACUCCUGUUUCCCUCUCCUGGCAUUUCCCUACACUGGGGCUUCAAGCCGUCUCAGGACCAGGGGCCUCUAAAUGCUUCUUUAAUGCACAGUGCUGGAAUCAGCCAUUAGUUUUUGCUGAACAAUUGAAUUCUCAAUGGGUAGUUCAUCUACAAGUGGGUAAUGAAAAAGGACUGUGAAAGUUCUCAAGCCUCUCACCACAUGGUUAGUUUCCAUGGAAACCAUGGUAUCUGUCUCUCAAUUACAAUAAAAUACUUUUUACCACUUAAGACAUUCCAAGUGUUUAGAAGUUCUUUAUUUGGAGUUGGAAUUCAAAGUCAAUUAUAAAUACAAGAGUCUUCUCUGAAGCAUCCCCAUGAGAGAAUUAGGAUUUUUGUAGCAGAAUAUAAGUGGGUAAAAGAUCCAAUAUCUUCUUCCUAUUUCAUCUCCAUAUUAAAACUUUUAAAUUCUUGAGGAUGCUUCCUGUGUGGACGCAUGUUGUUAUGAGGGAACAUAACUGUUUCACAUGCUAAACAUACUCUAUCUUUGAAAUCCACAGGGGAAACAACAUCUGAUUAUAAUGUAUCCACAAAAUAUAAUUAUUCAAACAGCCAAAGUAUUUUGAGAAUAGUAAUUGUUUUUACCUAGAAUGUCUUCUAUCUUUAAAUAAAAGUAAUAUUGGCUGGAAAAUAGAGUAAUGUUUGUGUGAAAUUAAUUUUCUUUUCAUACCAGUGGUUUAUAUGGGAACAGGAGCGCUUAAGAGUGAAAUUGUAUUUACACCUAUAUAUUUUUACUUUUUCAGAUAUGGGUUUGAGUUUCUCAGUGAGGGACGUGAAAUAUUUUAUUUAUUUUAUUAUGUUUUAGAAGAUACCAUGCUCUAAACAAGUAUUACUAUGUUUUUGGUUUUUUUUUUUUUGGGGGGGGGUAGGCAAAACCUCCUUUCCAUUAGAGGAAAUGCUGACUCCUAAUGUGCACAUUCAUGAUCAGUGACCUUUGAGAAUAUGAAUAAGACAUAAUAUCAAAAUCCAUUUCACAAGGUAAAUACAACCUUAAUCCUUAUACACACACACUCACACACACACACACAUACACACACAUUCACACACACACAUACUCAAACACUCAGUUGUGUGUGUGUGUGUAUGUGUGUGAUAAAGGAAACGGUGAGUUGUAAUUGUAUUACAUAUCAAAACUAAAAAUUAAAAAUGAAUAUAUAAUGUGAAAUGUAGUAUAUAGUUUGUUUGAAAUCCAAUCAUUUAAGAAAAAUGAAAAUCUUAUUUGUCGUGAGACUAGAUAUUUGAGAAACUUGAAUUUUCUCUCCUUCUGUAUAUAUUUAUGAUAUCUAUAUGUACAUGCAUUGAGAAAGAGUUGAAUUCUUUAAUAUUUGUUAAUAUCUGUUAAUUUGCUUGGGGCAUGCAUUAUUACUUCAUAAGUUAUACACAUUCACUCAUAAAAUCAUGAAUUCUGCUAGACUGUUUUAGAUUCCAAUGUAUUUUCUGUUAACAACUCUUACUUUAUGUCAUUAGUUUUAAGAAACUGUCAAGAAACACUGAAUUAGUAGGAAAAAUGACAGAGGUGCAUGUCUGCAAAUCAGAAACCUGAUAAGAAAAUGUAUUUUUGUCACAUAUAACAGCAAAUCACUGUGUUUGUGAGAGACUCCUUUGAACUUUCUUCAAAAGGACUGAUGUUGAGGAGCUCAAUUUCAAGCAUUUCUGUUUUGUCUUCAUUCUUGCUGAAGUGCUCCAUCAAAUUUAUAUUUUUCCUCUGCCUAUCUGUACCUAAGAAAACUAAUGCAGUGAGGGUUGUUGAAAAACGAAAAAGAUUUAAACAAGAAUGUGCAACAAUCAAUAUAAAGAUCUUGAACCUUGAACACUACUUGUGCCCACUUAAAGAAUUGUGUCUUUCAUAGCAUUCAGCAUAUUAAUAUAAUCCCCUAAUGUGGCCC
rnacentral:lncRNA from 1 species